rnacentral:rRNA from 1 species
UACGUAGGGGGCAAGCGUUGUCCGGAUUUAUUGGGCGUAAAGAGCGUGUAGGCGGCUAGGUAGGUCCGUUGUGAAAACCCGAGGCUCAACCUCGAGACGCCGGUGGAAACCAUCUAGCUAGAGUCCGGAAGAGGAGAGUGGAAUUCCUGGUGUAGCGGUGAAAUGCGCAGAUAUCAGGAAGAACACCCGUGGCGAAGGCGGCUCUCUGGGACGUGACUGACGCUGAGACGCGAAAGCGUGGGGAGCGAACAGG